UUGUUGGAGGGAGUAAUCCUCACCUAUACCUUCUUUUGGAUAGUAGAUUAGAACAUGAUGAGAGAUUUUGUGCUAGGUGAUUAAUAUCUCUGCAUAAUCAGUACUUACCCUGAUUUCUCCUGUUUGAG
ensembl:snoRNA U8 U8 small nucleolar RNA